CAGUAGUCAUCUGAAGUUCUCGCACACACAGACCCAUGUCAGAUAAAAGUGCCCCAGACCUUUCUGAAUCAGGACCAUCACCAUCUGGCCUGAAGAGAAGAGGACAGUUGCUCUGCAAUAUUGUGUUGGCCUCUGCCGUACGUCAGCAUGAAUCAGCCACAGUUGCUGCUACUGGGGGAAAAAUGCCAACAAAACAACUCAAGACAACGUACCGCACACUCAGGGCAAAUACAUUAUUUGUUCCCCUUUUAUCAGCGCUGAGAAAGGAGAACUGUCAGUUUCCAACUCCCCAGCUCGCCAUCUCUCAUGCAGGAAGGAGCAACAUAAGGAGUAGCCGGACGUGCCAGCUUUACCUAAGACCUUUCAAUCCAGGAGUUCAGUGUUGCUAGCCUUCAAGAUGCUUAAGGCUUCAGUCAGUCAGUCAGUUCAGUCGCUCAGUCGUGUCCGACUCUUUGCGACCCCAUGCAUCGCAGCACGCCAGGCCUCCCUGUCCAUCACCAACUCUCGGAGUCUACUCAAACCCAUGUCCAUCGAGUCGGUGAUGCCAUCCAACCAUCUCAUAAGCUUAAGGCUUAUCCUCACAAUUUAUUAGCAUCUCUGUGGUUGCUGGUAGGAAAAAAUGCAUCUUUUCAAAUGAAUCUGCACCAGCUUACUCUUUUCAAAACAUACUUCAGAAUUCAUGAUAGAGCAAAGUAAGCAGUAAGGAGGUUAUAGAUUUGCCUUCCUCAAAUCAGUAUCUGCUUAAAAAAUGACCAUUUUUAGCAA